GAUGAAUGCUGGCGGCGCGCCUAACACGUGCAAGUCGAGCGGAAAGGCCCUUCGGGGUACUCGAGCGGCGGACGGCUGAGUAACGCGUGGGAACAUGCCCCAAAGUGAGGAAUAACUGCCCGAAAGGGUAGCUAAUACCGCAUAUGAUCUUCGGAUUAAAGGAUUUAUCCGCUUUGGGAGUGGCCCGCGUACGAUUAGGUAGUUGGUGAGGUAAAGGCUCACCAAGCCUACGAUCGUUAACUGGUCUGAGAGGAUGAUCAGUCAGACUGGAACUGAGACACGGUCCAGACUCCUACGGGAGUCAGCAGUGAGGAAUCUUCCACAAUGGGCGAAAGCCUGAUGGAGCGACGCCGCGUGCAGGAUGAAGGCCUUCGGGUUGUAAACUGCUUUUAUAAGUGAAGAAUAUGACGGUAACUUAUGAAUAAGCACCGGCUAACUACGUGCCAGCCGCCGCAGUAACA
rnacentral:rRNA from 1 species